UGGAAGUAAAAAGUCGUAACAAGGUUUCCGUAGGUGAACCUGCGGAAGGAUCAUUAAUGAGGGCGUGUGGGCUUAAUAUCCCC
rnacentral:rRNA from 1 species